GUGGUUUGUCCUAAUGUGACUGCUGAUCAAAGCUGUGCUGUAGUCCUGGACGCCACACAGAGUGAUGCUGGUUCCUACCGACAGGGCCUGUCGAGUGCAUGGGUUCUCUGUGCGAUGGUUCCACACAUU